ACCGCAGUGCAUGAGCACGUAGAAGAAGUUAAGCUGCUGGGGAGCGAACAAGGCUGGAGCCUCAGUGAUGCUGGUGGAUCAGAUAACUGCUGAAAGUUUUAAACAAACCAGAGCUCUGGCAGGACCUUGCUAGACACUUCAUCCAAACAUAUCAUCUUACAACUCUGAUAAAAGGAUCUGCUGGAUUUUCUUUUGGCUGAGAUAAGACAUUUGUAUUCAUUGAAACCAAUGUUAAUUGGCCUGGAAACAUCACGCUGCUGUGACUCAGCAGAGGACCUUUUUCUGGAGAGGCACUCCACCUGAGGUGUCCCACAGGAGUGAAGCUUCCUUUGUGCUAACAGCUACAAUACAAACACGCGGUGACAGGCAGAUCCAGGCGCAAACCCAUCACAGUUUUGAAACAGUUCAACACCGUUCCUAUUAGCCUUCUGGAAAAGGAAAGCGUAAUGAAAAAACGGUACGUGUGCUUUGCUGUUUUACACUGUGCAACCUUGCUAUGUAUUUGCUGCUUUUCCACCGCUUUGUAGUUUAUAAUAUUCCUAACUGAACAUUUGCACCCAACUUCUUCCUUGUGGACGUAGAUUGUGUUUUAUUUUAUUUUGCCAUUUUGCCAUCUGUAGCAUUUAGCCUUCGUCUGCACAGCUUUUCACAGCAGCCAAUGUGUCACAUAACUUCUCUUACGAGUCUCCUGAAGUCCUGGGGGUCAGCCUGCAAAGUGAAAAAUGCAGAGAUCUAGGAAUGGCUCAGCCAGCUGAAAGUUACGGGAAGGGAAAGGCUCCAGUUUCACUGAAGGGGAAAAAAAAAAAAAAAAAAGAGAAGAAGAAGAAGAAUGGCUCCUUUCAAUGCAGACGGAGGCAGUCUGGCUGAGAGUCAGUGAGGUUUAAAAAUCCAAGAGGUCCAAUAACUGAAAAUCUGUAUAGAUUCAAAGCAAUAUUUUAAAUACCGCACAAGUGUAGAUAAAAAAAGAAAAAAAAAGCAUGUGAUGGUUUUUCCAUCCUCCUGGUGCACAUAGCCAACCACGUCCCAAAACCAGGCAGUAUUUCUUCCCCCUAAAACCCUGAGCAUGUGUGUCUAAGACCUGUCCGUGUCAUCAAAGAAUGAGGGUGAAGAGCUCCUGUUGGACUGACCCCUUUGGUCACUUUUCAGGAUGAUGGCUGGUUGUUUCCAAUCAAAAAUCCACAAGAAGUUACUACUGCUAGUUUGCUGAGAUAGGAAUGUUGCUGUUAUUGUAGCACUGAUAUUCAGCUAGCAAUCCAGCUGCAAUGCCAACACUGGCAUCAAAAGUAUUGUUACUUCUGGUGGCAAGGCUCUGGUUUGUGAUGCCCAUUUCAUGACACAAGAAAGGGCCAUGGGGUCUGCUGAAUGUGGUGCUCGGGGACAUGAUUUAGAGGAGGGUUGUUAGAGUUAGGGUAGUAUGGUUAGGUUGCAGUUGGACUUGAUGAUCUUGAAGGUCUUUUCCAACCUGAGCUAUUCUAUGAUUAUAAGCUGCCUCUCCUUGGGUCUCUCCUUCUGUCUGUUUGCCUUCCUCUCUCUUCUUCUAAUGCUCCUAUUCACUGUUCCAGGUUCUCCCCAUAGUCCCAGACAGGCUCCAAAGCCUUGUAUGAAAACGCAGGGAGAGGGCAAAAGAUCAGUGAAUAAAAGCACUGAGUACUUACCUCUUAGAGCCUGUUAUACUGUCAGCUCAAAGUUAAAGUGCAAUAAAUCUGGUAGUCUCACGUUGGUCCCCCGUGUGCUGCAGUCCACCUCAUAAAACUACUACAUAAUUAAGUACAGUGCAGCACAAUUGGCAGUCUCUGCUCAACGAAGGCCCAGCAGCGAGUGCAUAAACUCACUGCCGGUCCCUGAAGGUGGAUGGUUGAGGUGCUGGGGAGUGGGGGCAGGUGCUGGCUGCCAGUGCAACUUUCCUGUGAGGAGGGGGCAGCUCGGCCUCCCUUCUGCCACUACAGCCCCAUGCUGUGUGUAUUUAAACGGAGAAUAGAGGGGAGUGGGCAGCACGGGUGAUGCUGGGGGGAGUGGGAGCAGCCAUAAGAAGGUGGCGCCAGGGAGAUGGGCAUCACCUGCUGCAGAAACUGGGGCCUCCUUCCUGGGCAGGAAAGUGUCCCUCAUGCUCUGCAUCUGGAUUAUGUGCAGAAAGGCAGGGUGCUGCAAAGUCUCUCCAUUUACGGGUUUAGCACCCGACUUUUCUCUUUAGCAGAAGGAGCCGUGUGACUGUGCAGGACAGAGGAGCACGGCGCUUAUGGGAGUGAGUUAAACCUCUUUUAGGAAAAAAAAAAAAAACAGAAAAAAAGAAAGAAAAAAACGAUGGGGAAAGAAAGGGAAGUGUUUAACCACCAGCUAGGCAGCUAGCUGCAGUAGUGCGUCUGGCCCUAUCCUGCUGGUGCCCUCUAGUGCUUUGCUACCCAGCUGCAGAAAUGAUUUUUGAGCUUGGGAGGAAAUCCC